rnacentral:rRNA from 1 species
AUGGUACUACUCCUAGACAAUCGAUUUUUCAUUUGGCAUGGUUCUUCCGCAGAAUUCCACCUCUUCUUACUUUUUCUAUGUGUAUCUACUGUGACCACCCUCCUAUACCUCAUGAGCCGUUCGCGCACAGUAUACGUUGUUGAUUAUGCGUGCUUCCGGCCAAACUCGAACUACCGCAUCAGCAAGGCCGCAUGGAUUGAGAAUAUUCACCAUUCCCGGUCCUACGAUGACAGCGGCCACCUUCGCUUCUUGACCCGUAUUUCUGAGCGGUCAGGCCUUGGUGAUGAGACCUACCUUCCUCCUUACCUUCAUCAUAUCCCGCCAUAUUAUUGUUUAAGUGAAGCCCGUGCUGAGGUGGAGUUGUCCAUCUUCACGACCAUAGAUGACCUGCUCCUGAAGACGUCUAUCAACCUUGAUGCAAUCGCCAUACUCAUCGUGAACUGCAGCAUCUUCAGCCCAACUCCGUCCCUUGCUGACAUGAUCAUCAGAAGAUAUAAGCUUCGAGAUAAUAUUUGCAACGUGCAACUGUCUGGGAUGGGCUGCAGCGCAGGGCUAAUCGCCAUGGGUCUGGCGAAGAACCUUCUGCAGAACUCUCCCUCUAGUGCGCAUGCGCUGGUUGUGUCCACAGAGAUCUUGACUGGGACCUACUACACCGGGAGGAAGCGCGAAAUGCAGCUGACCAACAUGUUGUUCCGCAUGGGUGGCUCGGCGGUGCUCCUCUCAACAUCGACUAACAAAGCUCGUUUUGAGCUGGCACACGUAGUUCGGAAUUGUACCAGCUCCCAAGACAAUGCAUACCGAUGUGUAUCUUAUGAGGAAGAUGGUGAGGGAAUUCUUGGUCUCAAUUUAUCCAAGGACCUUGUGGACGUCGCUGGCAAGGCUCUCGGGGCUAACAUCACCACAGUUGGACGGCUUAUUCUCCCGUUGUCAGUCAAGAUUUUGCAUUUUUGCUCUCGUUCAUCUUACGGAAGGUGCUAA